rnacentral:rRNA from 1 species
AUUCCAGCUCCAAUAGCGUAUAUUAAAGUUGUUGCAGUUAAAAAGCUCGUAGUUGGAUCUCAGGGUGAGCCCAGUUGGUCGGCCUAAUUGGUCAGAACUGGCUGACUCUCCCUUGCUUCUGAAUCCCGGUCGGAGUUAAUUCUUCGUUCGUGGACUUCAGAUCGUUUACCUUGAAAAAAUUAGAGUGUUCAAAGCGGGCGUUUGCUUGAAUACAUUAGCAUGGAAUAAUGGAAUAGGACCCUGGUUCUAUUUUGUUGGUUUUGAGGACCAGAGUAAUGAUUAAUAGGGAUAGUUGGGGGCAUUCAUAUUUAAUUGUCAGAGGUGAAAUUCUUGGAUUUAUGAAAGAUGAACUUCUGCGAAAGCAUUUGCCAGGGAUGUUUUCAUCA